rnacentral:rRNA from 1 species
UACAGAGGGGGCAAGCGUUGUUCGGAAUCACUGGGUGUAAAGGGUGCGUAGGCGGUCCGUUAAGUCUGAUGUGAAAGCCCUGGGCUCAACUCAGGAAUGGCCAUUGGAAACUGGCGGGCUGGAGUACUGGAGAGGGAAGCGGGAAUUCCUGGUGUAGCGGUGAAAUGCGUAGAUACCAGGAGGAACACCGGUGGCGAAGGCGGCUCCUGGCCAAGUACUGACGCUGAGGAGCGAAAGCCAGGGGAGCAAACGGGG